CCUACGGGGGGCAGCAGUGGGGAAUAUUGGACAAUGGGGGCAACCCUGAUCCAGCCAUGCCGCGUGUGUGAAGAAGGCACUCGGGUUGUAAAGCACUUUCAGUGAGGAAGAACGCCUGGUGGUUAAUACCCAUCAGGAAAGACAUCACUCACAGAAGAAGCACCGGCUAACUCCGUGCCAGCAGCCGCGGUAAUACGGAGGGUGCGAGCGUUAAUCGGAAUUACUGGGCGUAAAGCGCGCGUAGGUGGCUUGAUAAGCCGGUUGUGAAAGCCCCGGGCUCAACCUGGGAACGGCAUCCGGAACUGUCAAGCUAGAGUGCAGGAGAGGAAGGUAGAAUUCCCGGUGUAGCGGUGAAAUGCGUAGAGAUCGGGAGGAAUACCAGUGGCGAAGGCGGCCUUCUGGCCUGACACUGACACUGAGGUGCGAAAGCGUGGGUAGCAAACAGGAUUAGAUACCCGUGUAGUC
rnacentral:rRNA from 1 species